rnacentral:rRNA from 1 species
CUGAUUCAGCGGCGGACGGGUGAGUAAUGCCUAGGAAUCUGCCUGGUAGUGGGGGACAACGUCUCGAAAGGGACGCUAAUACCGCAUACGUCCUACGGGAGAAAGCAGGGGACCUUCGGGCCUUGCGCUAUCAGAUGAGCCUAGGUCGGAUUAGCUAGUUGGUGAGGUAAUGGCUCACCAAGGCGACGAUCCGUAACUGGUCUGAGAGGAUGAUCAGUCACACUGGAACUGAGACACGGUCCAGACUCCUACGGGAGGCAGCAGUGGGGAAUAUUGGACAAUGGGCGAAAGCCUGAUCCAGCCAUGCCGCGUGUGUGAAGAAGGUCUUCGGAUUGUAAAGCACUUUAAGUUGGGAGGAAGGGCAGUAAGCGAAUACCUUGCUGUUUUGACGUUACCGACAGAAUAAGCACCGGCUAACUCUGUGCCAGC